UACGUAGGAUGCAAGCGUUGUCCGGAAUUAUUGGGCGUAAAGAGCUCGUAGGCGGUUUGUCGCGUCUGUCGUGAAAGCUUGGGGCUUAACCCCAAGUCUGCGGUGGAUACGGGCAGACUAGAGGCAGGUAGGGGAGAACGGAAUUCCCGGUGUAGCGGUGAAAUGCGCAGAUAUCGGGAGGAACACCGGUGGCGAAGGCGGUUCUCUGGGCCUGUACUGACGCUGAGGAGCGAAAGCGUGGGGAGCGAACAGG
rnacentral:rRNA from 1 species